UGGGGAAUAUUGCACAAUGGGGGAAACCCUGAUGCAGCGACGCCGCGUGAGCGAAGAAGGUUUUCGAAUCGUAAAGCUCUGUCCUAUGGGAAGAUAAUGACGGUACCAUAGGAGGAAGCCCCGGCUAACUACGUGCCAGCAGCCGCGGUAAUACGUAGGGGGCAAGCGUUGUCCGGAAUCACUGGGCGUAAAGGGUUCGCAGGCGGAAAUGCAAGUCAGUUGUGAAAGGCAGAGGCUCAACCUCUGUAAGCAAUUGAAACUGUAUUUCUUGAGAUGUGGAGAGGCAAGUGGAAUUCCUGGUGUAGCGGUGAGAUGCGUAGAUAUUAGGAAGAAUACCGGUGGCGAAGGCGACUUGCUGGACACAAACUGACGCUGGGGAACGAAAGCGUGGGUAGCAAACAGG
rnacentral:rRNA from 1 species